AUAGGGAGUCAGACCUGCCCAAUGAUAUGUUGAAUGGCCGCGGUACCCUGACUGUGCAAAGGUAGCAUAAUAAUUUGCCCUAUAAUUGAGGGCUGGAAUGAAUGGUUUGACAAGAGCACUACUGUCUCCUUUUAGUUUAUUAGAAUUUAAUUUCUAGGUGAAGAAGCAUAGAUUUAAUUAAAAGACGAGAAGACCCUAUUGAGCUUUAGCUCAGAAUGUAGGGAAGAAUAAUAUUACAUUGGGAGUUUUGGUUGGGGCGACAGAUGAACAGUUAAAGCUUCUUUUAUAAAUUAAAACUUGCAGGUAUUGACCCAGAAUUUUUGGUUGAAGGAUUAAGUUACCAUAGGGAUAACAGCAUAAUCCUCUUGGAGAGUUCAUAUCAAUAAGGGGGUUUGUGACCUCGAUGUUGGACCAAAAUAACCUUUAGGUGUAGUGGCCUAAAAGGGUUGGUCUGUUCGACCAUUAAAAUUUUA
rnacentral:rRNA from 1 species